UACGGAGGGAGCUAGCGUUAUUCGGAAUUACUGGGCGUAAGGCGCACGUAGGCGGCUUUGUAAGUUAGAGGUGAAAGCCUGGAGCUCAACUCCAGAAUUGCCUUUAAGACUGCAUCGCUUGAAUCCAGGAGAGGUGAGUGGAAUUCCGAGUGUAGAGGUGAAAUUCGUAGAUAUUCGGAAGAACACCAGUGGCGAAGGCGGCUCACUGGACUGGUAUUGACGCUGAGGUGCGAAAGCGUGGGGAGCAAACAGG
rnacentral:rRNA from 1 species